UACGAAGGGGGCUAGCGUUGCUCGGAAUCACUGGGCGUAAAGCGCACGUAGGCGGCUUUUUAAGUCAGGGGUGAAAUCCUGGAGCUCAACUCCAGAACUGCCUUUGAUACUGAGAAGCUUGAGUCCGGGAGAGGUGAGUGGAACUGCGAGUGUAGAGGUGAAAUUCGUAGAUAUUCGCAAGAACACCGGUGGCGAAAGCGGCGCGCUGGAUCCCUUCUGACGCUGAGGCGCGAAAGCCAGGGGAGCAAACGGG
rnacentral:rRNA from 1 species